CCCUACCCCACCCCCACCCUCAUCCAGAUGUCAGCCCAGGCCUCCCAUGGAUCCCCCUGGAGGACAGAGGCACAAGCUCCUUACAUGAUCACCUGUCCCUGUCACCACCCAGGGUCUGUCCACGCAUUGGCUUUUGUCUCUGCCUUCUUCAUCUUUACCACAACUCUUCUGUCUUUCCCUCUACAGCCACAAUGAAAGACGGAACACAUUUCUACACCCAGUGACUGGCCAGGUCCCAGAGGAAAACAAAAAAUUUGACUUGAAAAUGUAAGUGUGUCCCCUACUUGCUGUUUGGGCUUUCUGCCCUUAACCACUACCAUCCCACUGCCUCCUUGCAGCUGGAAAGCAGAAGGCAACAGGGAGGGGAAGGAAAGCAGAAGGGCUUUGCAGUCACUCACCUCGGUUCUGAGGACUGGAAGCAUCUGAGACCCAUCUGGCUUGACACCCUCAUCCACUUUUCCUAGGGUCUAGCAAAAGCCAGGGUGGUGCACCCCGCAGGUUGAGCUGAUGGAGUAGAAGACAGGUAUGAGGCUGGCAUAGCACCCAGGGGCCUUUGACAGAAGCGCUGAGAAAAUCUGAUAUGAUCAUGAGAGCCAAAUGCUAAUUCCUCUCACUGUGGAUCCUGGCUCACCAAAUGAAAGGAGAAAAAAAGAAAAGAGGAUAAUUAAUCUACUCUCAUAGGCCACUAAGCAGUUGUGUCUUUUAAAGUAGAAGGAAAGGAUUUCUAGAGCCCCAGGGUCUAGAUUUUAAAAUAAAUAUCCAGGG
rnacentral:lncRNA from 1 species